GAUUAAGUUAUUAAGGGCGCACGGUGGAUGCCUUGGCACUAGAAGCCGAUGAAGGACGUUACUAACGACGAUAUGCUUUGGGGAGCUGUAAGUAAGCUUUGAUCCAGAGAUUUCCGAAUGGGGAAACCCAGCAUGAGUUAUGUCAUGUUAUCGAUAUGUGAAUACAUAGCAUAUCAGAAGGCACACCCGGAGAACUGAAACAUCUUAGUACCCGGAGGAAGAGAAAGAAAAUUCGAUUCCCUUAGUAGCGGCGAGCGAAACGGGAAGAGCCCAAACCAACAAGCUUGCUUGUUGGGGUUGUAGGACACUCUAUACGGAGUUACAAAGGACGACAUUAGACGAAUCAUCUGGAAAGAUGAAUCAAAGAAGGUAAUAAUCCUGUAGUCGAAAAUGUUGUCUCUC
rnacentral:rRNA from 1 species